UAGCACACCAUCAUAUGUGCAUUCUAAUGAUAGAAAGCGUGGAAGGGGUAGAGAGGAGACAGGGAAGGACUACGCAGAUGGCCCCAGACAAAUGGGUCACCUAGACGCUUCUUCUGUUAAAGUAGCUGGGAGCCCAGCAGUCCCGAUUCUCUGCUCUGAACCGCCGCUCCACUCAGGCUGGUGACCACAUGACGCCACAAGCCAUCUGCCUUCAGACCUGCCUCCGGCUCCACCUGCCGCAGCCUGCCUUUUUCUCAUUCCACCUCCAUCUCCAGGGUGGCCCAUCUACAAGGCUCAGCUCAAGCCCCCAUCUCCUUUUACAAGCUUUCUGCCUCAGUUUCACAUUUUUACCCAUCAUUAUGUGGGUAAAAAUUACUAUGAACUUUAUUGGGAGAGGAAAAAUGAGGCAAAGUGUCUGAAAAUACCCAUUAAACACCAAAGGGCUAUACAAUAUGAGAAAGUUACAUUUUAUUAAUAGUCAUUAUACUCACAAGAAUAUAUUCUAUUUUAUGUAAUAAUAUGAAUAAUCGACAUUGUAUAUUAUUUUGUAACAAUGUUUCACUUGCAUUAGCCUUAUCUUCUCAGCCAGCUGGUGCACUCCUUGAGGGAAGGGAUUCUGUCUUCUGUUAGCAAACAUUGUUGCUUCUGCCAACACAUUGCUGAGUGAAGUCGCCAGGGAGAAGCAGCUUCCUGGGCAUGCGUGUUAAGAGACAAAAACGGUCACCUGUGAUCUUUCGGAGGCACACGCCACCAGAAAAGGGAAGAAAGCUUCAGAUGGGCACGUGGAUAAUUCCCUACACCUGCAGGUGCUCAAUUCCCAAGGGUAAGGAAAGCACCGGGCAUGCGGAAAGUCCACGCUGAGAGAAGGAUCAUGGGAAAGAGGCUGGAGUGCAAUGUUGCAAUCUUGGCUCACCA